UGGUGGCUAGCUCAGUGGUUAGAGCUCCAGGCAUUUGACUGGAGGGUCCCGGGUUCGAACCUCGCCAUAAA
rnacentral:tRNA from 1 species